rnacentral:rRNA from 1 species
UGCCUCAGUAACGGCGAGUGAAGCGGCAACAGCUCAAAUUUGAAAUCUGAAGUCUUUGGCUUCCGAGUUGUAAUUUGAAGAGGAUGCUUCGGUUGAAGCCUUGGCCUAAGUUCCUUGGAACAGGACGUCGUAGAGGGUGAGAAUCCCGUACACGGCUGCAGGCUUUCAACCAUGUGUAGCUCCUUCGAAGAGUCGAGUUGUUUGGGAAUGCAGCUCAAAAUGGGUGGUAAAUUUCAUCUAAAGCUAAAUACUGGCGAGAGACCGAUAGCGCACAAGUAGAGUGAUCGAAAGAUGAAAAGCACUUUGAAAAGAGAGUUAAACAGUACGUGAAAUUGUUGAAAGGGAAGCGUUUGCAAUCAGACUUGCUUUCGGUUGAUCAACGUUCCUUCUGGUUCGUGCACUCUGCCGUUUGCAGGCCAGCAUCGGUUCUGGCGGUGGGACAAAGGCUCCGGGAAUGUGGCUCUCUUCGGGGAGUGUUAUAGCCCGGUGCGUAAUGCCACCUGCUGGGACCGAGGUCCGCGCUUCUGCUAGGAUGCUGGCUUAAUGAUUGUAAACGACCCGUCUUGAAACACGGACCAAGGAGUCUAACAUCUAUGCGAGUGUUUGGGUGUCAAACCCAUGCGCGGAAUGAAAGUGAACGUAGGUGGGAGUCUUCGGAUGCACCAUCGACCGAUCUGGACGUCUUCUGAAGGAUUUGAGUAUGAGCAUAGCUGUUGGGACCCGAAAGAUGGUGAACUAUGCCUGAAUAGGGUGAAGCCAGAGGAAACUCUGGUGG